UGUUAGUACUCUAGUACUGUAGUCUUAAAAAAUUGGUCAGGAUUGGAAAAUAGCAGCCAUAUUGAGUAAUACAGGUAUUAUGAUUUUUCUAACAGAG
rnacentral:SRP_RNA from 1 species